rnacentral:lncRNA from 1 species
UUCUCAAAUAUGGAAAGUUUAACCUUUAAAACAGAAGGCUGAAAAACACUAUCCCUGAAGAAUUUUUUACUUAAAUGACUUUUAAAGACUGUAGGUCUGGUGACAACUAGAUGUUGCUAAAUCGAGUGAUACAAGUAAAACUCUUUUCUGUUCCAUAUUGUGCAUUAGGGACUCGCUGAAGAAAACGCACUUCAGGGAUGAGAGACACUGUCACUCACAUAAUAAGAUAGGGCAGGAUUUCCACACAGCAAAUAUUCAGAACCCCAGUUCUGUUCCCCUAGAAAGCUUCUGAGAGAUGUUUCUAAAUUCUCUUCCAGUCUCUAGAUUAAUGGGAACUUAUAUUCUGGCAGCUAUGUCUGGGAUACUCUAAAGUAUGUGCACUCAACAUUUUAUCAUCAUCUAAAAAGAGGCCGCCAACCCCCCUUGAAGGACAAGUGGAAAAUGAACAGGAUGCAGAAAUUAAAAUAAGCUGAACAAAGGGAUUCCUAUCUCUGCUGGUUCUGCAUGCUUCAGGAUAAACAGAGCAGGCACUUUCCUCAGGAACCAGACACCAGGCGUGCACAGAGAGCUGUGCUGCACACCCGCCGUGCGUGUUCACGGCAGCACGUGCCAAGCCAGAAUGAGCAAGUUUGGUUAUAAGAAAAUAGAUUAUAGGGCUCUGUUUUGAUAUGUUCAAUUAACUAAAAUGUUAAAUCUCUCCCCUUUUUUCAACAUUUGAUUUCUACUUUUUCCAAAUUUCCAAUCAAGAGGUCAGCAAUGAGCUGCCCAGUUGGCUGCACUAACUAUCACCAUCUUGUUGUCCACCAGUGACGUCUACAACAGAACAACAUUUGCGUGGUGCUCUGGGCCCCACACCACCCGAGACGGGAGCCUCACAAGUUCACCGGAGCUGCUUCAGUACGCUGAGUCCAAACACGAGCUUCAUCCAAAAGCUGGGAAAUACCGCGGGUGUGCUGGGAUGAGGAGCAAUCCCGAAGGCUGUGUUUGCAUGGAAGCAAGUCACACGGGGGAGGCUCUGGCUUCACAAAGCCUGUUUUAUGACUCGCUGCACCUUCCAGAGGGCUCCUGUGAAGUGCGACACACUGUACACUAACAGCGGGAUUCGACAUGGCUUUCAAGGCCCAGCACUGUUGCUCUGGAAGAGAAAUUAAAAGGUAACGUUAUUGAGAAAACAAUUGCCACUGUCAAUUUUUCAAUUAGUCAAUCAGAAAAGGGGGUGUUCAAUGAGAAUCACUGCUCCCACAGUGUAGGAUGCAUUGUAAUAGGAUGAUUAUGUUCACGCCGCCUAAAUAGCUAAGUACAGCCAAUGGUUAAUACAGGUUAGCAUAAGGUAAGCCAUCUUAUAGAAGGGAAUUAUGUUGGGACUAUAACAAGACACCCCCUUUCCCUUGUUAGUAAUGCUCUAGAUUGCGCAGCGUAGAGAAGUACACAUCUGCUUGCUCUGCUAUUUUUGUAGCCUUGGCUUGUACCUAGACCUUAUUAUUCCGAUAAGGCAAUAACGUUGUUCUUUCAGCAUUUCCAGGGAUGUAACGACCUUCAGGAAAAAACCUCUGCUGAUAACUGUUGCCAGUGAAGAGAGAAAGGGACACUGUAGUCUCAAGGACUACAACUCCAGAUGGUCAACAUCCCGAGACCCCCCUUUUUAGCCCAUUUGCCUUACAUAACUGCUUCAAAAUUUUGGAGUUUUAAGAUGGUUCUUUACGACGUGAGUCCACCAUCCUCCCCCUUGCUGGCAAGCUGUAAUAAAAAGACCCUUUCUGUCUACCA